rnacentral:lncRNA from 10 species
CUGAAAACUCUCCCAGCCUCCCUUGCAGGUAGAGGUGACCAUGUAAUGCGAUUAUUGCCAAUGAGAUCCAGACGGAAGUCACCUGAGUGAUUUCCAGAAAAUGUUGCUUUCUUGAUAGAGGCUUUGCUUCUACCUCUUCUCGUUUAUCUCCUCGUGCCUAUAAUGCUGGUCUUAUGCCUGAGGGAAGAGAAAAGCCUUGCUAUUAUAAACACAAAACUGAAUGCCAGGAAUGGUGGAGGAGAAAGAUAAAAGGAGGUUAGUUACCCUGCCUCAAGCAAAGGCAUGAACCCCUGAACUGUGUACUUCCUGACCACUUGUUUGGUGAGAAAAAACAAGAUUCGAAGGUGUUGCAGUGGUGUCACUGUUAUGUGGAGCAAAAUGCAUUCUCAUCAGUAAAAGUCAAGAAAACUUUUGAGCUAUUUACAGCUUGUAACAAUUGAGCAAAGUAUACUCCUGUGAACAAAAUUUGGAGCAUAUUUGUUUCUCUACCUGAUUUCUCCAGAAUUUGGAAACUACUUAUAUCACCUUUUAUCAGAACUCAAGAGUCAUGAAUGGCUUCACCAGACCCAUGCUUUCUGAUUGAGCUCCUCUCUACACUGAAUAUAAGAGUUUCCAAUAGGCAGAAAUAUCAUCACCCCUGUUCAACAUGAAGAAGAUACAAAAGAUGAAUCUUUGUCCCUCUACAACCUUUAGGAUUAAGGGUUCCCUUCUAAAAGAGAGAGGAGAAAUCUGUCAGGGGUGCUUGAACUAGUGCCAUUCCAUCUUGAGUAGGGGCUGGGUAAAAUAAGGCUGAGACCUACUGGACUGCAUUCCCAGGAAGUUAGGCACUGUUAGUCACAGGAUGAAAUAGGAGGCUGACACAAGAUACAGGUCACAAAGACCUUGCUGAUAAAACAGGUUGAGGUAAAGCAGCUGGCCAAAUCCCACCAAAACCAAGAUGGUGACAAAACUGACCUCUGGUCAUCCUCACUACGCAUUAUACACUAAUUAUAAUGCAUUAGCAUGCUAAAAAAACUCUGUCCAGUGCUAUGACAGUUUAUAAAUGCCAUGCCAAUGUCAGGAAGCUGCCCUAUAUGGCCUCAAAAUGGGAGGAACCCUCAUAUCUGGGAAUUACCCAUACCUUUCCCAGAAAACUCAUGAGUAAUCAACCCCUUGUUUAGCAUAUAAUCAAGAAAUAAUAAAAAAAAAAUAGCUAACCAGGAGUGCUCAGGGCUGCUCUGCCUACAGAGUAGUCUUUCUUUUAUUCCUUUACUUUCUUAAGAAACUUGCUUUCACUUUAAAAAAGGAACUGCUUAACGUUAAAAUUACUACAUCUUGGGUAUAGUAAAUAACUACCAGAGACAGUUAAAUUUCAUGCUUGAUGAAUUAAAUGCACAAACUGCAGUCUACCCUCUUACAUAGAGAUUUUUUAAACAUUUAGUCUUGUUUGAUGCACAAGAAAUGUUUGAAAACAUUGACUAAAAGUUUUUUAAACUUUUUGAGUGACAUUGCAUCUUAUAUAAAUGCUUAAUUAUUUUGUGCAAAAAUGUUCACACAUAUGUAUAAUUCAAUUUGGUAGUUAUUAACAGUGAAGCUGAGCUUUAAAAAUUUCAUUAGCCCACGUAACAGUUGGCUCAUAUUCCAAUUUUAACAUUGUUUUCCAGAAAUGAAAAUAAUGUUCCAAAAUACACACUUAAAGUCAUGUAGUUGAUACUAUUUUUAAUGCAUCUUUUGAGUUUCUCUAUUAAUAAAAAAACUAAGUAUAUGGUUACUUUACAUUUUACUUGUGGAAAUCAUAUUUUACCAAAGAGAUUAUUCUAUUUGCAUUUUCUACUUAAAAUACAUAUUAUGGAGAAUAUUCUAGGGUGGCAGGGAGGGUGAGGGACAAUACUGAUAAAGUCUAUAUAAGGCAGUGUCUGAGUGUCUUUAACUCACAAUAGUUUGAUAUGGUCUAGAAUAUAUGUGUGUAGAAAAGCAUAUGCGGAUAUUCACUAGUUCACACAGACACAGCGGCAUACAGAGGCUUAAUAUUUCAGUCAGUGAUGCUUGGUUUUGCUCCCACAGAGCACUAUGGUCCUCUGUGUCUACCUUAGAUAUGCACUCACCGGCAACUUUUCUGAGUGACUAUUCUCUUCCCUAUAUUUUUGGGGGAUUCUCAAUGUUGUUAGUUUGUUUAUUGGUUUGACAUCCUAGAAAAGAUAUAGAUUAGAAGAAAAGUUAGACAAGAAAUAGACAAGCCCUCACAGAAAACAAAGCCUUACUUUGAAUCAAGUCAGUCUCUGAUUAUAUUAAGUAAUCUACACUAACUAGUUUCCCAAGAUAAUGCAAUAAAGAAAUUGAAAGUUUAUGGAAGAAACUUACAGGUUGGGAGG